CGGUGGGAUGAUGGUCUGGACCCCUUAACCAGUGCUCACAGCCCCUCCCCUCCCCCCAUACAGUGUCUCCUUGCCCUCCUAGGCUUCUCCGAGGCUAGUGAGCGAGGCCCAGUGGAAACCGCUGUAUCAGAGAAUGGCCGGCACAGCAGAAAAUCAAAGAAAUGAUCAAGUCCAGUUGGAGUUUCAAAGAAGGCUUUGGAACACACUAGGGGGAAACACAGGAUACGCAAGAGCCAAGCAGCACUUGGGCGUUACACUCCAAUAAACCCUAACUCCAUCUCCGCAUCUGCUUCCCGGGGAACCCACUCUAUACACAAACCACGGUGACUGACAGGUGUUCCAGAAAGAGACAAGGAUGCUAGAAUAGCAGUGGACUUGGCGGAAGAGGAAAACGUUAGCUGGAGGUCAAGUGCACCCACCUUCCCCGAGAAGGUGACAUUGGAGCAGAGACAGGAAGGAGGAGGGAGCGUCAGUCAUGGCCUGAGGACCAGGGAGAGGGCUCCAGGUGGUGUGGGUUGGGAGAGGCUGAGCAGCCGAGUGAUGGGAAAGCCAAUGGACAGGAGCCAGCAGGGCUCGUGGCCUCUUGAGUGCCACCAACGGGCCCUGGGGUUCUCCUUCCGGUGGUGUUGGACGAUAGCUGUUCUGUCCUCAGCGUCGUCCCCCUGGACAAACCCAGGUGUGACGAAACAGUAAAACACACCAGUCACUGGUAAUCGCAUCACGACUCAGGGCGUACGAGCAAAAGUUGUCCCCGCAGUCAGGGCUGUGACCUACAUGAGACGCGCCUGCGGCAGUGGCCGGUUCUGGCCGCUGGGAAAACCGAACUGGAAUUGGAGAGACGGCAAACGGCGUUGCUCUUGAUGGCAGCGGGAUGAACCACGGGAUGAACCACGGGAUGAUUUCAGGCAGGUGCCCUUCCACGGAGAGCCUGCAGCAGAGCCUGAGACACACACAACCAACGUGGAGUCUUGCUCUUGCAGGCACCGCGUCUGCCUGUUUGCACCGUCUUCCUUAACUGUCGGUAACACACCAACAAAGUUCCUUAAAAGAGAGACUCUAACCCUUAGGAUGGCAGACUCUCCCCCACUAGCAGCCGUCCGGGCUGGCUGGUAGGGCCAGCUGGGGGGACAGACCCAGGCAAAGGGAGGAGGGUGGGCGCGAUGACCGCACCCGCCCCGCCUGCCCCAGGGAGGUCCUUUCCAGGCAAGGAUUCCUAUGAUAAUAACGUAGAAUGUGGCAGAGGGCUGCAUUUUAAUUAAUUUUAGUCCCUUUCAAGACCACAGUUAUUAUUAUAAAAACACUGAUAAUACCAAACACAUGUUGAAAAUACACAGCAGGCUGCAGCCCGGGAGACCCGGGGACGUGCGAAGUCAUAUGUCAUCUGGGGUGCUGAGAAAUCAGCAGGCCCCUCCCCUGUGCUCUCCGACACCCCACACCCUGCUCGGUGGGCCUGCUCUCUCUUUGUCACCAGCAGGCCCCCUCCCGGCCCGGCCUCUGCCCUCUCCUCUUCCUCCCUGCAGAAACUGCUAGAAGCUGGGAGGGCGGGGAGGUGUCAGGCCCCCAUAAAUCCCUGUUUAAUUAUUUUAUUGGGAAAGGUGAUUGGUGGAAGGAGGAAAGAAAAGGUGCAUUCUCUUAUUUUGGAAGAAUGCGUCAUUAUCUGCCUCUGCGGAGAGGGGAGCAGCUCCCUGGGCUGCAGGCACUCCUGAAUUAUGAUGUGAGAUGCUCAGGCGCUGGGGGACUCCCCUUCCCCACAGCAACCCCCCCUGCCGCCCGCCCACCCCGCCGGCUGAGGGGUGCCUGGGCACAGCCCCCUUUCAGGUAAGCACUGAAGAAGGGCCAAGAAGUGCAGUGCAGGGCAGUGUGGUCGAAGCAGGGUAGGGGCCUGGUCCCAAGGCGGCGGCACUGCCCCCGAAGAGGACCAGCCCGGAGAACGGUUGGAUCCACUAUCACUCCUGCCCAAACUGUUCUGUCCUGCCUCCUUGGCCCCUGGUCACUUCUGGUUCCCCGGUGUCCCUUGCCUGGGAAAGCAUCUCGCGACCCCUGAGGAGGUUAGGAAGUUCCUUCGUAGCUAAAACAGGAGAGAUACCUGCCCCGGUGGGGGGUGCUCUGGGAUUGACAAGUGAGUUUGCCAGUUUUCUAUCCUCGGUCUUACUCAACGUCUCCUCUUCGUGCAGAUGACGGAGCCGUACUGUUCACCCCAUUUCAUGGAGGUCAAGUGCCUUUUCCAAGGACACACAGUGGCUAUAAGGCAAGGUCAUGGGAGCAGGGGGCCAGGAUGACAUAAGGCUCUUGCCCUCAGCAAUCCACUGUGGUCCCCUCCCCCGAACGGAUCUGCCCCAGGGGUGGGCACUCCCCACCCUCGGCCAGUAGCACCCUUUGAAGACACUCCCUCCAGCCCCCGGGCUCGUGCAGUUCCUUGCACAGAGAAGAGGAUCUGGUCCUUGUGUUCCAGAUAGUGGCCUCCAUCAUUUAGGUUCACAGCACACAGUUCAAGUCAACGGCUCCCACCCGCUC